UCUGACACAGGUGCUGCAUGGCUGUCGUCAGCUCGUGUCGUGAGAUGUUGGGUUAAGUCCGUAACGAGCGCAACCCUUGUCCUUAGUUUACCAGCACGUUAUGGUGGGCACUCUAAGGAGACUGCCGGUGACAAACCGGAGGGAAGGUGGGGAGUGACGUCAAGUCAUCAUGGCCCUUACGGCCUGGGCUACACACGUGCUACAAUGGUCGGUACAAAGGGUUGCCAAGCCGCGAGGUGGAGCUAAUCCCAUAAAACCGAUCGUAGUCCGGAUCGCAGUCUGCAACUCGACUGCGUGAAGUCGGAAUCGCUAGUAAUCGUGAAUCAGAAUGUCACGGUGAAUACGUUCCCGGGCCUU
rnacentral:rRNA from 1 species